rnacentral:rRNA from 1 species
UACGGGAGGCAGCAGUGGGGAAUAUUGGACAAUGGGGGAAACCCUGAUCCAGCGACGCCGCGUGAAGGAAGAAGGCCUUCGGGUUGUAAACUUCAGUUAGCAGGGAAGAAGUGAGUGACGGUACCUGCAGAGAAAGCCACGGCUAACUACGUGCCAGCAGCCGCGGUAAU